rnacentral:rRNA from 1 species
AACGAACGCUGGCGGCAGGCUUAACACAUGCAAGUCGAGCGCCCCGCAAGGGGAGCGGCAGACGGGUGAGUAACGCGUGGGAAUCUACCCAACACUACGGAACAACUCCGGGAAACUGGAGCUAAUACCGUAUACGUCCUUCAGGAGAAAGAUUUAUCGGUGAUGGAUGAGCCCGCGUUGGAUUAGCUAGUUGGUUGGGUAAUGGCCCACCAAGGCGACGAUCCAUAGCUGGUCUGAGAGGAUGAUCAGCCACACUGGGACUGAGACACGGCCCAGACUCCUAUGGUAGGCAGCAGUGGGGAAUAUUGGACAAUGGGCGCAAGCCUGAUCCAGCCAUGCCGCGUGAGUGAUGAAGGCCCUAGGGUUGUAAAGCUCUUUCACCGGUGAAGAUAAUGACGGUAACCGGAGAAGAAGCCCCGGCUAACUUCGUGCCAGCCGCCGCCGUAA